rnacentral:rRNA from 1 species
UACGUAGGGGGCAAGCGUUGUCCGGAAUCACUGGGCGUAAAGGGCGCGUAGGUGGCGCUCCAAGUCCGUGGUGAAAGCUCGAUGCUUAACAUCGAGUCGGCCACGGAGACUGGAGGGCUCGAGCACUGUAGGGGCAGAUGGAAUUCCGGGUGUAGCGGUGGAAUGCGUAGAGAUCCGGAAGAACACCGGUGGCGAAGGCGGUCUGCUGGGCAGUUGCUGACACUGAGGCGCGACAGCGUGGGGAGCAAACAGGG